rnacentral:lncRNA from 1 species
AUGUUGGAAAGCAAAAACUUAGAAGAAGAGAUAAAAACGCUAAGCGUAAGAGAAAAAAUAGAAAAAUCAAAAAUAAGUAGAAAGAUAGAUGAAUAUACAUUAUAUAUAAAAAAUAAAGUUGUAGAAGACUCAAAAAAUAAUAUGCACGAUAAUUUAUCACAACAGUUAAUAAAAGUUGAACAAAGUCAUGUACAUAAUUUAAAUAAAAAUUGUAAAAACAAUUUUAUAAACGAUUCUAUAACAAAUGAAAAAAAUUCCACAUGUUUACACUUAUGUAGUAUAAACACAAAAUUGCCUAAAGAUAAUAUUAAACAGGCUGUUAGUAAUAAUAAUAAUGUUAUACAUAUAUUCCAAAAUAAUGAAAAAAAUAAAAUAACAUAUGAUAAAAAUCUAUAUAACACUGAUAGUAACAACUGUCAUAAUUAUUGUAUUAAAAUAGAUGAAAAUAAUAACACUAUAUGUGAUGCUUGUAAUUUUUGCGAUGAUAUAUGUUCAUCUAAUUUUUGCGAAAAAUGUCAUACUAAAAAAAAAGAAUUGUAUAGAAAAUAUAAAAAAUAUAAAAAAUACACUUUAAUAAUAUGUAAUAAGGAAAUAAAACGUUUACUACAAAUUAGUAAAGAAACACAUGAACAAAUUUUAUAUAAUAAUGGUAUAAAAAUGAAAACAAAAAAGGGGGAAGAAAAAGAAGGGGAAAAAGAAGAGGAAAAAAAAAAAAAUGAAAAUAUAAAUAAAAAUCCAGUUAUAGAAAAUAUUGUUAAUCAUACGAAUAACAAACAUAUGACUUCUUUAUGUGUUAAUAACAAAAUGAAUGUAAUGAUAAAAAAUUUAAAAAAUGAAAAAAGUUGUAGUAGUUGUANNNNNNNNNNUAGUUGUAGUAAUAGUUGUAGUAAUAGUUGUAGUAAUAGUAGUAGUUGUUGUAGUAAUAGUUGUAGUAGUAUUAACAAUAAUAAUAUAAAUUUAACCAAAUAUAAUGGUACAGAAAAUAUUAUACAUAUUUCAAAAGAUAUCGAAGAAAAUCUUAAUAAUUUUAAAUGCGCUAAUUAUGCAAAAUGUGAAAAUUAUAUAAAAGGUAAUAAUUAUGCAAAAUGUGCUAAUUAUUCAAACUGUGAAAAUUAUAUAAAAUAUAAAAAAUGUUUUACUCCAUGCGAAGUAAAAAGACAUAAUAAAAUUAACGACUGUUGGAUUAUGGCUAAUGGAUUUGUUUAUGAUGUUACAAAUAUAAUUAGUGAUCAUCCAGGAGGUAGUGAUUGUAUAUUAAGAAAAGCAGGUCAAGAUGUAACUUCUGAUUUUUUUUUUCAUUCAAAAUAUGCACAAAAUUAUAUUUGGGAAUCUGUUAAAAUAGGAAAAGUUGUAAAUUGUGUCAAACCAGUUAUAAGUGAUAAAAAAAAUAUA